rnacentral:lncRNA from 1 species
GUGCUGCUGCGCCAGUGCCCGAGUAAAUGCUUCCCCAGCGCUGCUCUAUGUCGGACAAGUAUAUUUGUUGACAAAGAUUUGUGUGAAUACAGAGGUGUGUGUUUUUGUGGCUUUUGUGUCGUAUGCAGUGGCAUCUCGGCCGCCCUACAUUGCAGCGACCUGCAUAGAGUUUUUCAUCACGCUUGGUUUUUUUCUGCUCUACCUUCUGAAACUCAACAAAGUGUUCACUUUCUUCUUCUGGCCUCUUAUUGAUGUGUUCAACUCACUCUUUGCAGCUGCAUUCAUGUUUAUUCUUAGCAUGGUUGCAGUUUCAACAUUCACAGUGAAGGGCACUUUGAGCGGAGGGAUCGUGGGCUUUGUGGCUGCAGCCUUGUGGUCAUUGGAUGGCUAUAUUCUUUUAAAAAAAAUCACAUUCAACAAGCCAAGAACCACCACAAGAGCCCAAACAGGGGAAGAGUAAUGCCUCAUAACUGUGUUGACUCAUUUAGUGAGUGAGUGGGCCAUUUUUACAGCCAAAAUGAGAGUGUCAAGUAUAUUAUACUGUUGUAUGAUGUAUACUUUUGUUCAUAAAUAAUGUGCAAAAGAAUUAGAAUCACUGAAAAGACUGAAACCUACACACAAAUCUGCAAAAUAAAGGGUUUCAAACAG